rnacentral:rRNA from 1 species
CAAGUCGAGCGAGAAAGUCCCUUCGGGGAUGAGUACAGCGGCGGACGGGUGAGUAACACGUAAGAAUCUGCCCUAUAGUGAGGAAUACCCUCGAGAAAUUGAGUUAAUACUGCAUAAGUCCCUGCGGGGAGAAAGGCGUCUUUUAUGUCGCCGCUAUAGGAUGAGCUUGCGGACUAUCAGCUUGUUGGUGAGGUAAAAGCUCACCAAGGCUAUGACGGUUAACCGGCCUGAGAGGGUGUACGGUCACAUAGGCACUGAGACACGGGCCUGACUCCUACGGGAGGCAGCAGUGGGGAAUAUUGCGCAAUGGGCGAAAGCCUGACGCAGCGACGCCGCGUGGAGGAUGAAGGUCUUUGGAUUGUAAACUCCUGUCAGAUGGAAAGAAAGGUUUGUGUUUAAUAGACGCAAAAUAUGACGGUACCAUCAGAGGAAGCACCGGCUAACUUCGUGCCAGCAGCCGCGGUAAUACGAAGGGUGCAAGCGUUAUUCGGAAUCACUGGGCGUAAAGGGUGUGUAGACGGUACAUUAAGUUCGUCGUUAAAGGCUCCGGCCUAACUGGAGUAUUGCGAUGAAAACUGGUGAGCUAGAGGGUGAGAGAGAGAAGUGGAAUUCCCGGAGUAGCGGUAAAAUGCGUGGAUCUCGGGAGGAACACCAAUGGCGAAGCAGCUUCUUGGCUCAUUCCUGACGUUGAGGCACGAAAGCGUGGGGAGCAAACAGGAUUAGAUACCCUGGUAGUCCACGCCGUAAACGAUAAUCACUAGAUGUUGGUUCGGCUUAGCUGGAUCAGUGUCGUAGCUAACGCGUUUAAGUGAUUCGCCUGGGGGAGUAU